AGCGCAGGUGGUUGUAUAAGUCUGAAGUAAAAGGCAGUGGCUCAACCAUUGUGUACUUUGGAAACUGUACAACUUGAGUGCAGAAGGGGAGAGUGGAAUUCCAUGUGUAGCGGUGAAAUGCGUAGAUAUAUGGAGGAACACCGGUGGCGAAAGCGGCUCUCUGGUCUGUAACUGACACUGAGGCUCGAAAGCGUGGGAGCAAACA
rnacentral:rRNA from 1 species